rnacentral:rRNA from 1 species
UACGUAGGGUGCAAGCGUUGUCCGGAAUUAUUGGGCGUAAAGAGCUCGUAGGCGGUUUGUUGCGUCGGCUGUGAAAUCCCGAGGCUCAACCUCGGGUCUGCAGUCGAUACGAGCAAACUAGAGUGUUGCAGGGGAGACUGGAAUUCCUGGUGUAGCGGUGAAAUGCGCAGAUAUCAGGAGGAACACCCGUAGCGAAGGCGGCACUCUGGGCCGGAACUGACGCUGAGGAGCGAAAGCGUGGGGAGCAAACAGG